GACGGGGUUUUCCCAACAGUUAAACUUUCCCUCUCACGCGAUCCACCUACUUAAACCAAGGUUUUUCUUUCCCACCCCCAUUCACUUCACAUCCCAGGUUUCCACGCAGACGGAAAGGGGAAUCAUAAAGAGUAAAUUCUUCUGCCUUUAAUGACGUUCUGAAAUGAUCGCCCUCCACGCCCAAGGAAGGGAAAACGACACAAUCUGGCUCAACUCCAGGCUCGAACCCUACAAAUUCAAUGGGGGCUAUCUACGAGACACGGGCAUACGCCACUGGAAGCCCGAGAAUGUGAGGUGGGGAUGGCGAAGGUAAUGUCUUCAGUGUAGGAAAGGAAACAGCCAUGCUAGAUGGGGCCCCGAGAACGAGGGAAGGCGUCCAGGAACAUUAUGGAGGAGUGAUCAAGGCUCCCAGAGCGAUCAGAGUUGUCACAAGGCCGCGGGAACAGGAGUGGUGGGAAGAUAUAGGAAGGAAAAAAAAGUAUUUGUGUAUUUUCAAAGAGGGUAGCGAGAGACCUCUCCUUAAGUAAAAGGUAAACGUGGAGUAGGCAGUUCCCAGGAAAGGGAGUGAAGAGACGUGGGGGAGGGGAAUCGUCCUGACCCAGGAAAGGCAUGAAAAGGGUAGUGGGGUCGCGUAGAUUAGGGAGAGAGCCUCACUUCCUGGGAAAGAGAGGUGCAGUGGUGUGUGGGGGUCGGCGAGGGGAUGAGAAGGGUCAGCAACCUCCCUCUAAGAGCCUGGAGAGCAAGGCCCACGUCCCGAAGAGAGCGAGCGCGGGGAGACGGAGGAGGUGACCCGUCCCUCCCCCGGGGCCCGGUCGUGAGGGUGGGUGUCUCUCUUCCAUCAGACCCUUACCUUGUCCCCGGCGCUGCCAGGGCCUGGGCCCGAGCUGCGGCACACGGCACUCCCGGGAGGCAGCAGGAUUCGAGCUAGGCCCGACGCGGCGCCACGGCGUUUCCUGGCCGGGAAUGGCCCGUACCCGUGAGGUGGGGGUGGGGGGCAGAAAGGCGGGGGCGAGCUAAAGGCGGGGAGGGGGAGGGCCAGGAAAGGAGGAGAGGACGGCACUACUAUGUUGGCGAACUGGCGGGACUGGGGCUGCGUGAGUCUCUGAGCGCAGGCGGGCGGCGGCCGCCCCUCCCCCGACGGCGGCGGCGGCGGCGGCAGCUCACUCAGCCCGCUGCCCGAGCGGAAACGCCACUGACCGCACGGGGAUUCCCAACGCCGGCGCCAGGGGCAGCCGGGACACGCCCCCUCCCGCCGCGCCAUUGGCCUCUCCGCCCACCGCCCCUCGCUUAUUGGCUAGCUUGCCGCCAAUUAGCGGAAGCCGUCGGGGCCGCCUGGAGAAGAGGCUGUGCUUUGGGGCUCCAGCUCCUCAGAGAGCCUCGGCUAGAUCCUAAAUGUCUAAAAGAUGCAGCAAGAUGACGCAACAAGAAUAGACAUAGAUUCCUGGUGCCACUGACAACAAUACAACUAUGAAAGCGGACACGGAAGAACACGCAGCGAAUAGACACAAAGAGCAGACAACUGGAGUGGGGGGGGGGGAAGGGGAAAGAAAGAAAUUAAAAAAAUAAAUCUUAAAAGUAAAUAAAUAAAUAAACGUCCAAAAGAGAACAAAUUCAAGGAUGGUAAAAACACAAAAAUUUAAGAAAAUAUUACUAAUGCCAUGCUAAGUUAGAGGCUGGAAUUUAAGAUGGACACUUGCAGGAAAAAUUUUUCAAUAGCCUAUUAUUUAUUAGUUUCAUAAAUAUGACUCUGUUGGCAAUGACUAUCAGAAGUCUGAAGAGUUAUAAGAUGUACUGAAAGUUACAUUUUUAGUUAGUAAAAGUCAUCUAUUUUCAGUCUGAAUUCUUUUAGGUCUGGUUUUAUUUUGAUCUAGUCUGUGAGUUCACAGUAUAUAAAUUGAUUGGUAUGCAAAUAAUGUUUUGGAAUUCAACCUGUUGCCAAUAAACAAAAAUUACAGAAUUAGGCAGCAUAUCAUAGUUUAAAAAAAAAGAAAGAAGAUAGUUCUAAGAUUGUCAAUAAAAUUGAUAGAAACCCUUUUUAAGUAUUUGACUCUGGAAACCUGACCAAAAAGAAAUGUGGAAAAAUACUAAAAUCCUUACUGUGAUCUAUUUUCAACCUUCGGCUAAGGCAACAGCUGAAUAUUUGGGAAUCAAUCAAAACAUGAGUUGGAGACAAAGCUGUUGUCCUAACAACUGAAAGAGUAUUUAGAUAUUACUUUGGCUUUAAUUCAAAAACUGAAGUUAGAGAAGAAAGCAGAGGAAAAACAUAAUGUUGAGAGAAAGUGUUAUUUGUAGAUGACACAAACUGUCACUUGCUCUUUGUUUCACAGUCUGGAAGUAAUUCUAUUUUGGAACCA
rnacentral:lncRNA from 1 species